GCCCCAUUAUCUGUUGUAUCCUCAUUCUUUUUAAAAUUAGCACUUUAUUUGCCCUUCACGACAGGCAUUUUAUACAGGUCUGCCAUAUCUUUAUUUUACAGAUACCAAAAUCGGCUUUGAGGUCGGUGAGUUCACUUGUUUCUUUUUGUCUUUUAUAUCAAUAUUGUAUGUUGAUGGUAUGGACUUGAAUGAUGUACCAAUUUUAACAGACUUGCAAAAUGAAAACUUAAAAUUGAAAGUACAACUUUGUAAUCUUGAAGAAUUGAAUUUGCUUCUUAAGAAGCAGAUUGCUUUAAAUUCACUUAGUGCUAACACAGAAGAAUUCAAUCCUGAGCUUAAAG
rnacentral:lncRNA from 1 species